GACGAACGCUGGCGGCGUGCUUAACACAUGCAAGUCGAACGGAAAGGCCCUACUUUUGUGGGGUGCUCGAGUGGCGAACGGGGGAGUAACACGUGAGUAACCUGCCCUUGACUUUGGGAUAACUUCAGGAAACUGGGGCUAAUACCGGAUAGGAGCUCCUGCUGCAUGGUGGGGGUUGGAAAGUUUCGGCGGUUGGGGAUGGACUCGCGGCUUAUCAGCUUGUUGGUGGGGUAGUGGCUUACCAAGGCUUUGACGGGUAGCCGGCCUGAGAGGGUGACCGGCCACAUUGGGACUGAGAUACGCCGCAGACUCCUACGGGAGGCAGCAGUGGGGAAUAUUGCACAAUGGGCGGAAGCCUGAUGCAGCAACGCCGCGUGCGGGAUGACGGCCUUCGGGUUGUAAACCGCUUUCGCCUGUGACGAAGCGUGAGUGACGGUAAUGGGUAAAGAAGCACCGGCUAACUACGUG
rnacentral:rRNA from 1 species